rnacentral:snRNA from 1 species
UUACUCGCUUUGUAGGUACGUUUACUAAAAUUGGAACGAUACAGGGAAAAUAAGCAUGGCCUCUGCGCAAUCAUGACACACAAAAUUGUAAAGUGUUCCAUAUUUUU